AACUUAAAAAACACUAAUGAAGCCAUCGCCCAGCUGCCCAUCGAUCUUUAAUAUUCUUCAAAAUAUACAACCAACAAAUCCACCACUCAAGCAAUCAUAAAUCGAUCCGACACAUCAAGAUCUAAGAAUUAUCUUACAAAAUGGUUGAAGAUAUGGGCUUAUUUUUGGUCGAUCCACACUAGACGAGAUGGUUAGAACAUUGGAAUCAAAACUUUCAUCCUUGUAGAUGUAAUAUAAAGCGAUUUUGGUAAUGUAUG